AUGGCGAGGACGUCGUCGUCGCCGACGGCGACGAGGCUGCCGCUGCUGCUUGUGCUGCUGUCGUCGCUGGCCUUGCAGGCGGCGGCGCAGAAGUACAAUGCGGUGUACAGCUUCGGCGACUCGAUCACGGACACGGGGAACCUGUGCACCAACGGGCGGCCCUCGGCGAUCACCUUCACGCAGCCGCCCUACGGGGAGACCUACUUCGGGAGCCCCACCUGCCGCUGCUCCGACGGCCGCGUCAUCGUCGACUUCCUCAGCACCAAGUACGGCCUCCCCUUCCUGCCCCCCUCCAAGUCCACCUCCGCCGACUUCAAAAAGGGCGCCAACAUGGCCAUCACCGGCGCCACCGCCAUGGACGCCCCCUUCUUCCGCUCCCUCGGCCUCUCCGACAAGAUCUGGAACAACGGGCCCAUCAGCUUCCAGCUCCAGUGGUUCCAGACCAUCACCUCCUCCGUCUGCGGCAGCAGCUGCAAGAGCUACCUGGCGAACUCGCUCUUCAUCUUCGGGGAGUUCGGGGGGAACGACUACAACGCGAUGCUGUUCGGCAACUACAACACGGACCAGGCGAGCACGUACGCGCCGCAGAUCGUGGACACCAUCGGCGCCGGCGUGGAGAAGCUGGUCGCGAUGGGGGCCGUGGACGUGGUGGUGCCGGGGGUGCUCCCCAUCGGCUGCUUCCCCAUCUACCUCACCAUCUACGGCACCUCCAGCGCCGCCGACUACGACGCCCUCGGCUGCCUCAAGAAGUUCAACGACCUCUCCACGUACCACAACAGCCUGCUGCAGGCCAAGGUGUCCGCCCUCCAGGCCAAGUACAAGUCGGCGCGCAUCAUGUACGCCGACUUCUACGCCGGGGUCUACGACAUGGUCCGGAGCCCCAGCAAAUACGGGUUCAGCUCGGUGUUUGAGGCGUGCUGCGGGUCGGGGGGAGGCAAGUACAACUACGCCAACAGCGCGCGGUGCGGCAUGUCCGGCGCCUCCGCCUGCGCCAGCCCGGCGUCCCACCUCAGCUGGGACGGCAUCCACCUCACCGAGGCCGCCUACAAGCAGAUCACCGACGGCUGGCUCAACGGCGCCUUCUGCCACCCAGGCAUCACCCACUAG
rnacentral:rRNA from 1 species